rnacentral:lncRNA from 1 species
GCCUCACGCAAGUUCGGUGACCUCUGCCCAGCCGAGAGCAGGGGAGGGUCCCGCGGCCAGGGCCCCGAGCGGCUCACCCUCCACGGCGUGGUUCACCUCUUGGAUGAACAGCUGCAGCUUCAUCACCAGGGUGGCUGCGUGGCCAUCCGCCUUCCCGGACGCCGCCUCCUUGGAGCCGGCCCUGAAGGCCGCAUUGAUCCACUCCUUCACGUCGAAGUCGUCUGCCAGGAACUUGGAGAAGUCCAUGGCGGAACUGCCUCAGGCCUGGCGUCCAGAACUUAAGAGUUGGCUCCGGGCGGCAACGGGGAUGCAGAAGCGAGCGAGCCUGCGAGAGCACCGAGGCUAGCCUCCGAGGCGAACCCCAGAAACGCCAGGACGGGUAACUUGCCCCUUUGCGCUUCCCCGCUCAGCGCACUCAGUUUGCGGCUGGGAAUGACCCUCGCCGCCCGCCGUUCUUCUUCCGGAAGUCGUUGGCCGUUACCAUAGUGACUGCAGGCGUCCGGAGCGCUGAGCAGAGUCCCAGCUGCUAGGGAGGCUGAGGCAGGAUUGCUUGAGCCUGGGAAGCGGAGGUUGGAGGAAGCCGUGAUUGUACCACUGCAUUCCAGCCAGGGCAACAGAGCAAGACUCCAUCUCAAAAAUAAUUGUCCAUUUCAUCCAAGUUGUAUAAUUUGUUGGCAUAAAAUUGUUCAAAGGAUC